rnacentral:lncRNA from 1 species
GCUGUAAAGAAAAGUGAAAAUUCCAAGUCACAAUACCCUUGAUGCCUUGUGGUGUGAUAAAAUAUGAAAUGAGCUAGAUAAUCGUGUAGCAAAGUGGCGGGCACCUCUCCCAUGGUCAUCCCAAAGUAGGACCUUUAAGGCAUCUCUCAUUUGAGAAUGGGUGAGAGGUGUGAAGAAGUGGAGUAAACGAGAGAUGUCCUUCCAUGGGAUUUCGUGCUAUGUGGAGCACUUGCCAACUACAUAUAGUCCAUUGCAAUUGACUCUUGUUAACACUUCUAA